rnacentral:tRNA from 1 species
GGUGGCUCAGUGGUAGAGCGCUUGCCUCGCAUGCCUGAGGUCCUGGGUUCGAUUCCUCAGCACCA